UGCAACCUGAAAUGCUCGGAUAAACCUAUUAUUUUGAACCUACAUUUGAGAAACGGGAGUCCGGCGUUUGAUAGUAGAUAUCAGGCCACAAGCUAAUUCCGGCAUAUGGGUAACCAUAUGUAUCGGCGGUGGAAGAUUGAAUUUGUCGGCAGGACACCCACCUGGCAUUGGGCUAGGUGUCAAAAUAUGGGGGAACGGCUUUUCGGGUUUUAA
rnacentral:other from 1 species